GCUCACACUGGGAAUAAAGCUCAGAAAGGCGUGAGAGGAGCGACGUGCGUGUUGCUGAUCUUGAGGCGCGAUGGAUGGGUGGCUCAGCCACGGGUCUGGGCGUCCUUGAGGGAAUCCUUGCUGCACCACCCUCGAAUAGCCACAUGGGGACUCCCAGCGCCCAGACUGCAAACCUUCCGUCCCUGGGACAGCCGCACCCUCAAGGUUCUCAGAAUGGGCAGCCACAGCAGCCUUCAGGCCAGUGGCCUCGCUGGCAAAACCCAGACGGAGACAAGGAAGAUAGGAGGACCAUCAUACAAA
rnacentral:lncRNA from 1 species